UACAGAGGGUGCGAGCGUUAAUCGGAAUUACUGGCGUAAAGCGUGCGUAGACGGUAGCGUAAGUCAGAUGUGAAAGCCCCGGGCUCAACCUGGGAACUGCAUUUGAGACUGCUCUGCUCGGGUGCGGAAGAGGGAAGCGGAAUUUCCGGUGUAGCGGUGAAAUGCGUAGAUAUCGGAAGGAACACCAGUGGCGAAAGCGGCUUCCUGGUCCGACACCGACGUUCAGGCACGAAAGCGUGGGGAGCAAACAGG
rnacentral:rRNA from 1 species